ACCCUACGGGAGGCAGCAGUGGGGAAUAUUGGACAAUGGGCGCAAGCCUGAUCCAGCCAUGCCGCGUGAGUGAUGAAGGCCCUAGGGUUGUAAAGCUCUUUCACCGGUGAAGAUAAUGACGGUAACCGGAGAAGAAGCCCCGGCUAACUUCGUGCCAGCAGCCGCGGUAAUACGAAGGGGGCUAGCGUUGUUCGGAUUUACUGGGCGUAAAGCGCACGUAGGCGGACUAUUAAGUCAGGGGUGAAAUCCCGGGGCUCAACCCCGGAACUGCCUUUGAUACUGGUGGUCUUGAGUUCGAGAGAGGUGAGUGGAAUUCCGAGUGUAGAGGUGAAAUUCGUAGAUAUUCGGAGGAACACCAGUGGCGAAGGCGGCUCACUGGCUCGAUACUGACGCUGAGGUGCGAAAGCGUGGGGAGCAAACAGGAUUAGAUACCCUAGUAGUCCCA
rnacentral:rRNA from 1 species